AUGAAUAAAACCGUUGAAGACCUGAAAACGGAAUUAGAAGCAAUAAGGAAGGCACAAAUCAAGGAAAUGCUGGAAAUGGAAAAUUUAAGUGGUUGUUUGAAAAAAUUGCCCACAAAGGGAGUGGCCACUAUUCGGAGGUAUGGUUUUGCUGGAGUGAGCCAAGGAGAGCAGGUCGAGCAGCGUCCUUCCACCCUGAGAAACCAGGAGGGAGCGAAUGCUGUCAUCAACUGCACUUACACAGACAGUGUCUCAUCCUACUUCCCUUGGUAUAAGCAGGGCCCUGGAGAGCAUCCUAAGCUCAUUAUUGACAUUCGAUCAACUAUGGAGAGAAAGCAGGACCAACGACUGAUAGUUUUACAGGAUAAGAAAGCCAAAAACUUCUCCCUGCACAUCAAAGACACCCAGCCUGGGGACUCUGCCAUGUACUUCUGA